AUGAAGAGGUCUGGAAAGGCCCGUCAAAGAAGGUAACAACCCUGUAGUUGAAACCUCAUUCCCUCCAGAGUGGAUCCUGAGUACGGCGGGACACGAGAAAUCCCGUCGGAAGCAGGGAGGACCAUCUCCCAAGGCUAAAUACUCCCUAGUGACCGAUAGUGAACCAGUACCGUGAGGGAAAGGUGAAAAGCACCCCGGAAGGGGAGUGAAACAGAUCCUGAAACCGUGUGCCUACAAGUAGUCAAAGCCCUUGUCGAUAUUUCCUUAGGGAAAAUCGCGGGUAAUGGCGUGCCUUUUGUAGAAUGAACCGGCGAGUUACGAUCACAUGCAAGGUUAAGUUGAUAAGACGGAGCCGCAGCGAAAGCGAGUCUG
rnacentral:rRNA from 1 species